rnacentral:rRNA from 1 species
CGUUUGACCUCGGAUCAGGUAGGGAUACCCGCUGAACUUAAGCAUAUCAAUAAGCGGAGGAAAAGAAACCAACAGGGAUUGCCCUAGUAACGGCGAGUGAAGCGGCAACAGCUCAAAUUUGAAAUCUGGCUCUUUUAGAGUCCGAGUUGUAAUUUGCAGAGGGCGCUUUGGCUUUGGCAGCGGUCCAAGUUCCUUGGAACAGGACGUCACAGAGGGUGAGAAUCCCGUACGUGGUCGCUGGCUAUUGCCGUGUAAAGCCCCUUCGACGAGUCGAGUUGUUUGGGAAUGCAGCUCUAAAUGGGAGGUAAAUUUCUUCUAAAGCUAAAUAUUGGCCAGAGACCGAUAGCGCACAAGUAGAGUGAUCGAAAGAUGAAAAGCACUUUGGAAAGAGAGUCAAACAGCACGUGAAAUUGUUGAAAGGGAGGCGCUUGCAGCCAGACUUGCUUGCAGUUGCUCAUCCGGGCUUUUGCCCGGUGCACUCUUCUGCAGGCAGGCCAGCAUCAGUUUGGGCGGUGGGAUAAAGGUCUCUGACACGUUCCUUCCUUCGGGUUGGCCAUAUAGGGGAGACGUCAUACCACCAGCCUGGACUGAGGUCCGCGCAUCUGCUAGGAUGCUGGCGUAAUGGCUGUAAGCGGCCCGUCUUGAAACACGGACCAAGGAGUCUAACAUCUAUGCGAGUGUUUGGGUGUCAAGCCCGAGCGCGUAAUGAAAGUGAACGGAGGUGGGAACCCGCAAGGGUGCACCAUCGACCGAUCCUGAAGUUUACGGAAGGAUUUGAGUAAGAGCAUGGCUGUUGGGACCCGAAAGAUGGUGAACUAUGCUUGAAUAGGGUGAAGCCAGAGGAAACUCUGGUGGAGGCUCGCAGCGGUUCUGACGUGCAAAUCGAUCGUCAAAU